GACGUAGGGUCCAAGCGUUGUCCGGAUUUACUGGGCGUAAAGAGCGCGUAGGCGGUCUGUUAAGUGCACGAGUGAAAUCCCGGGGCUCACCUCCGGAACUGCUCUGCAUACUGGCAGACUUGAGGGUCGAAGAGGUUUGUGGAAUUCCUGGUGUAGCGGUGAAAUGCGUUGAUAUCAGGAGGAACACCCAUGGCGAAGGCAGCAAACUGGUCGGCAUCUGACGCUGAGGCGCGAAAGCGUGGGUAGCAAACAGG
rnacentral:rRNA from 1 species